rnacentral:tRNA from 1 species
UCCCUGGUGGUCCAGAGGUUAAGACUCUGCACUCCUAAUGCAGGGGGCCCGCGUUCGACCCCUGGUCAGGGAA